AGUGAACGCUGGCGGUAGGCCUAACACAUGCAAGUCGAACGGCAGCACAGUAAGAGCUUGCUCUUACGGGUGGCGAGUGGCGGACGGGUGAGGAAUACAUCGGAAUCUACUUUUUCGUGGGGGAUAACGUAGGGAAACUUACGCUAAUACCGCAUACGACCUACGGGUGAAAGCAGGGGAUCUUCGGACCUUGCGCGAUCGAAUGAGCCGAUGUCGGAUUAGCUAGUUGGCGGGGUAAAGGCCCACCAAGGCGACGAUCCGUAGCUGGUCUGAGAGGAUGAUCAGCCACACUGGAACUGAGACACGGUCCAGACUCCUACGGGAGGCAGCAGUGGGGAAUAUUGGACAAUGGGCGCAAGCCUGAUCCAGCCAUACCGCGUGGGUGAAGAAGGCCUUCGGGUUGUAAAGCCCUUUUGUUGGGAAAGAGAAGCAGCAGGUUAAUACCCCGCUGUUCUGACGGUACCCAAAGAAUAAGCACCGGCUAACUUCGUG
rnacentral:rRNA from 1 species